rnacentral:misc_RNA from 1 species
UCCGGUUUGUCACCGGCGGUCUCCUUAGAGUUCCCACCAUUACGUGCUGGCAACUAAGGACAAGGGUUGCGCUCGUUGCGGGACUUAACCCAACAUCUCACGACACGAGCUGACGACAGCCAUGCUGCACCUGUAUACCGACCACAAGGGGGGCCGUAUCUCUACGGCUUUCCGGUAUAUGUCAAACCCAGGUAAGGUGGGGAUGACGUUUCUAGGAGGGUG